rnacentral:sRNA from 1 species
UAGUGACUGCGUUGCAGUGCACUUCUUGUAGUCAGUUCGGAGGCCUCUCCAGUUUCUUCGGUAGUUACUCCAGCAAUUCGCUAUUCAAGAAUGAACUGCAAACCAUCGCAAUUCAACCAAGCAGAGGUAUUUCAGUGAUUACAGGAACAGUGAAGUGGUUCAACGACGCCAAAGGUUUCGGCUUCAUCACCCCGUCCGAUGGCAGCAAGGAUGUAUUCGUACAUCACUCCGCCAUUCAGGGUAGCGGCUUCAAGAGCCUGGCCGAGGGUCAGAAGGUCAAGUUCGAGUUGCAGCAGGGCCCGAAGGGUCCGUCGGCAGCGAACGUCCAGCCGGACUAGGCGUCAAGCACUGCGCAAGCAGGUUUGAGACGAAGACCCCGCCCAUCCGGCGGGGUCUUUUUU